AAGUCGUAACAAGGUUUCCGUAGGUGAACCUGCGGAAGGAUCAUUAACACGUAUCCACGUAACCUACCCAUAGUGAACCCGUUUUCAAGGCUCCCGUCGAGGUACAUGAGUUGGCAACCGAACAGAUUAAUAAAUGGGCCUCUAAAAAGGGCAGGUUUGUUCGUAAAAUACUGAGGUGAAGCUUUUGUUUCAUUUCGACGACUGUAGUACACGACGAUUAACCUAUCACCGACAUUCCCCAUUUUUGAACCACGUGAUAGACAUACUAACUAUAAUCACCCCCUUUUUGCUAGUUGACUUUAUUUAUGUUAAAAUUUGUAGAAGGAUUAAUUUCCCUUUGCAAGUCUUACACGUUUAAUUAUUUAAACGAUAGAACAACUCUUAGCAAUGGAUAUCUUGGUUCUC
rnacentral:misc_RNA from 1 species